UUCAUUUUUCAAGAAACAUCACAGAGGUUCGAUAAAUUCGGAUUAAAACUCAUGUUCUUAUUCGUUUGAUCUUUGUGUUGAGGUUUUUUAAUCAUCAAUUGGUGGAGAUGGAGAAGGAGGCGGAAUCGCUCGGCCCUUUUCACGUUGAAUCUCUUCGAAAAUCAAAACCCUCAUCAUCAUCUAACCAAUUAGUGGACAUAUUUGUCAUGGGAGGACACUCAAGGGAAAGUGGACAUCUUUGUCAUGGGAAUCGAAAGUGGAGGCAUUGUGUCUGGUGUUGGACGCUAUCUCAAAUCUCAAAAUCCUAAUGUAAAGGAAAUUCUCAUUAGAUUUUUUAGCUGGAGUCCGGAGACACCACUAUCAGUGUUUGAGAAGCCAUUAAUCCCCAUAACCCGAUGAAGCUUAUAAUUGAACGACAACCAUGGUCAAUUAACGAGGUAGGACUCCCAUACCCAACCUACUUCAAUCCCAGCUCAGAUGAGGAGAUCAUAGCAUGACAGUCUAACAUCGGGAAGAUGAAUCGGAAGUACUUCAUCAGCUUUGCUGGGACCCCACACAAGCGUUGGGAGAGCAUAAGAUCGAUCCUCAUUGCACAAUGCACUUCUGCUCCUAAUAAAGUCUGCAACUUCUUAAACUGUAUAGGAGAAUCAUGUGUUGAAUCAGCACUUUUUGAGAAACUUUUCAUGGCAUCAGCCUUCAGCCUCCAAGGCACAGUCCAACGAGAAAGUCCAUGUUUGAUUCUCUCAUUGCUGGUUG